rnacentral:tRNA from 1 species
GUUUCCAUAGUGUAGUGGUCAUCACGUUCGCCUCACACGCAAAAGGUCCCCAGUUCAUAACUGGGUUGAAACA